rnacentral:rRNA from 1 species
GAUGAACGCUAGCGGCAGGCCUAAUACAUGCAAGUCGAACGGGAUCCAGAUCAAAGCUUGCUUUGGUUUGGUGAGAGUGGCGCACGGGUGCGUAACGCGUGAGCAACCUACCCUUGUCAGGGGGAUAGCCCGGCGAAAGUCGGAUUAAUACCGCAUGACAUCAUUUAGAGGCAUCUUUCGAUGAUCAAAGAUUUAUCGGACAAGGAUGGGCUCGCGUGACAUUAGCUAGUUGGUGAGGUAACGGCUUACCAAGGCUACGAUGUCUAGGGGCUCUGAGAGGAGAAGCCCCCACACUAGGACUGAGACACGGACCAGACUCUUACGGGAGGGAGCAGGAUGGAAUAUUGGUCAAUGGACGGAAGUCUGAACCAGCCAUGCCGCGUUCAGGAAGACGGUCCUAUGGGUUGUAAACUGCUUUUAUACGGGAACAAACGUCGGUACGUGUACCGGUCUGCGUGUACCGGAAGAAUAAGGAUCGGCUAACUCCGUGCCAGCCGCCGCCGUAA